GGUGGCUCAGUGGUAGAGCGCUUGCCUUGCAUGCGUGAGGACCUGGGUUCAAUUCCUCAGCACCA
rnacentral:tRNA from 1 species